rnacentral:rRNA from 1 species
UGCAGUCGAGCGAAUGGAUUAGGAGCUUGCUCUUAUGAAGUUAGCGGCGGACGGGUGAGUAACACGUGGGUAACCUGCCCAUAAGACUGGGAUAACUCCGGGAAACCGGGGCUAAUACCGGAUAACAUUUUGAACCGCAUGGUUCGAAAUUGAAAGGCGGCUUCGGCUGUCACUUAUGGAUGGACCCGCGUCGCAUUAGCUAGUUGGUGAGGUAACGGCUCACCAAGGCAACGAUGCGUAGCCGACCUGAGAGGGUGAUCGGCCACACUGGGACUGAGACACGGCCCAGACUCCUACGGGAGGCAGCAGUAGGGAAUCUUCCGCAAUGGACGAAAGUCUGACGGAGCAACGCCGCGUGAGUGAUGAAGGCUUUCGGGUCGUAAAACUCUGUUGUUAGGGAAGAACAAGUGCUAGUUGAAUAAGCUGGCACCUUGACGGUACCUAACCAGAAAGCCACGGCUAACUACGUGCCAGCAGCCGCGGUAAUACGUAGGUGGCAAGCGUUAUCCGGAAUUAUUGGGCGUAAAGCGCGCGCAGGUGGUUUCUUAAGUCUGAUGUGAAAGCCCACGGCUCAACCGUGGAGGGUCAUUGGAAACUGGGAGACUUGAGUGCAGAAGAGGAAAGUGGAAUUCCAUGUGUAGCGGUGAAAUGCGUAGAGAUAUGGAGGAACACCAGUGGCGAAGGCGACUUUCUGGUCUGUA